AGCCUAAUUUAUAGUUUCUUUGAAAGAAAUUUACGGAUAUUUCCUUAGGCUC
rnacentral:tRNA from 1 species